UACAGAGGGUGCAAGCGUUGUUCGGAAUUACUGGGCGUAAAGGGCGCGUAGGCGGUUUGCUAAGUUCGGUGUGAAAGCCCCUGGCUCAACUGGGGAACGGCGCUGGAAACUGGCAGACUAGAGUACCGGAGAGGAGGGUGGAAUUCCUGGUGUAGCGGUGAAAUGCGUAGAUAUCAGGAGGAACACCGGUGGCGAAGGCGGCCCUCUGGACGGAUACUGACGCUGGAGGCGCGAAAAGCGUGGGGGAUCAAACAGG
rnacentral:rRNA from 1 species